GUGCUUGCUUUGGCAGCACAUAUACUAACAUUGUAAUGAUAUAGAGAUUAGCAUGGCCCCUGCACAAGGAUGACACACAAAUUCAUAAAAAUUAUUUUCUUCUC
ensembl:snRNA U6 U6 spliceosomal RNA